UUUCCGUAGGUGAACCUGCGGAAGGAUCAUUACUGAGUGAGGGCCCCUCGGGGUCCAACCUCCCACCCGUGUUUAACGAGCCUUGUUGCUUCGGCGGUCCCGCCUCACGGCCGCCGGGGGGCAUCUGCCCCCGGGCCGGCGCCCGCCGAAGCCACCUGUGAACGCUGUCUGAAGUAUGCAGUCUGAGACAAUUAUUAAAUUAAUUAAAACUUUCAACAACGGAUCUCUUGGUUCCG
rnacentral:misc_RNA from 1 species